UACGUAGGGUGCAGGCGUUAAUCGGAAUUACUGGGCGUAAAGCGUGCGCAGGCGGUUUCUUAAGUCAGAUGUGAAAGCCCCGGGCUUAACCUGGGAAUGGCAUUUGGGACUGCAAGGCUUGAGUGCGGCAGAGGAGACUGGAAUUCCCGGUGUAGCAGUGAAAUGCGUAGAGAUGUGGAGGAACACCGAUGGCGAAGGCAGCCCCCUGGGUCAACACCUGGACGCUCAUGCACGAAAGCGU
rnacentral:rRNA from 1 species